rnacentral:misc_RNA from 1 species
UCCCGCAACGAGCGCAACCCUCGUCCUAUGUUGCCAGCGAGUUAUGUCGGGGACUCAUAGGAGACUGCCGGGGUCAACUCGGAGGAAGGUGGGGAUGACGUCAAGUCAUCAUGCCCCUUACGUCUUGGGCUGCACACAUGCUACAAUGGCCGGUACAAAGGGCUGCGAUACCGCGAGGUGGAGCGAAUCCCAAAAAGCCGGUCUCAGUUCGGAUCGGGGUCUGCAACUCGACCCCGUGAAGUCGGAGUCGCUAGUAAUCGCAGAUCAGCAAUGCUGCGGUGAAUACGUUCCCGGGCCUUGUACACACCGCCCGUCACGUCGCGAAAGUCGGUAACACCCGAAGCCGGUGGCCUAACCCUUGUGGGAGGAGCCGUCGAAGGUGGGACCGGCGAUUGGGGCGAAGUCGUAACAAGGUAGCCGUACCGGAAGGUGCGGCUGGAUCACCUCCUUUCUAAGGAGCGUCUGGCUGUUCGUGGUCUCGUCUCCUCCUGGGGGGCGGGUGCGGGCGGUCCAGGGCCAGGGCCGGGCGAGUGUCCCGGUCUGGUUGCUCAGAGGCGUGGAACACUGACGUUGCGGUCCGCCGGUUCUGUCCGGCUCCUAGUACAG